GGGUGCGAGCGUUAAUCGGAAUUACUGGGCGUAAAGCGCAUGCAGGCGCCUGUUAAGUCAGAUGUGAAAGCCCGGGGCUUAACCUCGGAAUUGCUAUUUGAAACUGGCAGGCUAGAGUCUUGUAGAGGGGGUAGAAUUUCAGGUGUAGCGGUGAAAAUGCGUAGAGAUCUGAAGGAAUACCAGUGGCGAAGGCGGCCCCCUGGACAAAGACUGACGCUCAGAUGCGAAAGCGUGGGGAGCAAACAGGAUUAGAUACCCUGGUAG
rnacentral:rRNA from 1 species